rnacentral:rRNA from 2 species
AGCCCUUCGGGGUGGAUUAGUGGCGAACGGGUGAGUAACACGUGGGCAAUCUGCCCUUCACUCUGGGACAAGCCCUGGAAACGGGGUCUAAUACCGGAUAACACCGGCUUCCGCAUGGGGGCUGGUUGAAAGCUCCGGCGGUGAAGGAUGAGCCCGCGGCCUAUCAGCUUGUUGGUGGGGUAAUGGCCUACCAAGGCGACGACGGGUAGCCGGCCUGAGAGGGCGACCGGCCACACUGGGACUGAGACACGGCCCAGACUCCUACGGGAGGCAGCAGUGGGGAAUAUUGCACAAUGGGCGAAAGCCUGAUGCAGCGACGCCGCGUGAGGGAUGACGGCCUUCGGGUUGUAAACCUCUUUCAGCAGGGAAGAAGCGAAAGUGACGGUACCUGCAGAAGAAGCGCCGGCUAACUACGUGCCAGCAGCCGCGGUAAUACGUAGGGCGCAAGCGUUGUCCGGAAUUAUUGGGCGUAAAGAGCUCGUAGGCGGCUUGUCACGUCGGGUGUGAAAGCCCGGGGCUUAACCCCGGGUCUGCAUCCGAUACGGGCAGGCUAGAGUGUGGUAGGGGAGAUCGGAAUUCCUGGUGUAGCGGUGAAAUGCGCAGAUAUCAGGAGGAACACCGGUGGCGAAGGCGGAUCUCUGGGCCAUUACUGACGCUGAGGAGCGAAAGCGUGGGGAGCGAACAGGAUUAGAUACCCUGGUAGUCCACGCCGUAAACGUUGGGAACUAGGUGUUGGCGACAUUCCACGUCGUCGGUGCCGCAGCUAACGCAUUAAGUUCCCCGCCUG